ACGUUAGCGGCGGACGGGUGAGUAACACGUGGGUAACCUACCUAUAAGACUGGGAUAACUUCGGGAAACCGGAGCUAACACCGGAUAAUAUUUCGAACAGCAUGGUUCGAUAGUGAAAGGUGGUUUUGCUAUCACUUAUAGAUGGACCUGCGCCGUAUUAGCUAGUUGGUAAGGUAACGGCUUACCAAGGCGACGAUACGUAGCCGACCUGAGAGGGUGAUCGGCCACACUGGAACUGAGACACGGUCCAGACUCCUACGGGAGGCAGCAGCC
rnacentral:rRNA from 1 species